UAUGAAAAAAUAGCCAGUGGUGGUGGUGCAUGCCUGUGGUCCCACCCACUCGGGAGACCGAGGUGGGAGGAUCGCUCGAGCCCAGGAGGUCGAGGCUGCACUGAGUGUUGAUUGGUCACGUCGCUGCACUCCAGCCUGGGUGACAGAGCCAGACCCUGCUGUCAGGCCUCCGAGCCCAAGCCUGGACGUGUACAUCCAGAUGGCCUGAGGCAACUGAAGAACCACAAGAGAAGUGAAAAUGGCCAGUUCCUGCCUUAACUGACGACAUUGCCUCAUGAAAUUCCUUCUCCUGGACAGCAAGAAAGGAGCUGAGGAAGCCACUCAACUCUCCAGCACCCACCCUGUGCGGCCACGGAGGACCGUGGGGAUGGGAAGUGUCCCCUCCACCAAGCACAGCCCUCAUCUCUUCCCGGAAGUUGCUCCCCGGCGUCAGCGUCCUCACCCAGCCACCCCUGGGACUUUGGAGUUGCUGCAGAGCAUGACUGCUGGGAUCUGCCUUCUUCCCUUCCAAACCGUCGAAGCCCCUGUCCCUGCUCCUUGGUUGAAUACUGGGGGCGUGGGCAGAAAACUCUUCAUCUUUUUAAUUCAGGGCCCUCCAGCUUGGGAGGAGACACAGCUAGGCUGGAUGCGGCAACUUGUGUACUUUUGACCUUCAUGUAGCUGGAGGACACCGGGUUGCCCUUGAGGAAGCAGGUGUAUUUUGCCUGCAGGAAGGGCAGUCUUCUGAGUACCUCGCAGGUGUCUGGAUGUGGUGCGCAUUAGUGCUGUUCAUCAGACACCUUCAGCUGUCCUCUGGGCAGAUGGCAGGGUUGUGUCUUCCUGUGGAGUUCCUUCCUUUCGCCUCAGUGACCACGGAGACGCAUGUCGAGGUGUGACCUCGCCUGGGCCUCUGCAUGAGGGUGGGGAGCAGAGUCCUCCUUAGUGGGAGUGGAGCGUGCACAGGACGUAAUUACGUGGGGCCAUUUGUUACGCAGCCUAACACAGCCUGUCCUGGCUGAUGCAGAUGGCCAUUGCAGCAGUCAUCUGCAGGUCCUCAGCUUAGUCUCACCCUCACUGGAGAUCUUAGCCUUGGCCUCACAGGUGCUCCAGACCUUUUCCUGGCAGAAUUUUGGUGACUUCAGAAAUAUGAUGACUGCUGAACCCACUUCUCCCAGCAUUUCUAUUUGUGGUUGCCUGGUGUAUUUAAAGUCUGUGUUGAUGGGUGCAUAUAUUUUUAACGUUUCCCUAUUGUGAAAUUUA
rnacentral:lncRNA from 1 species